rnacentral:misc_RNA from 1 species
GUAAAACUUCAUUACUAAUAUGAUGUACCCACUGCAUCAAUUUUAAUUAUUUUAUUAAGGGAUUUCCAUUGCAAUAAUUCCCUCAUUAAUAAGUAUCUAGGUUCUAUCAUACAAAAGAACAAAGUUUUAGACGAGAAAUUCAUAUUAUCAAAACAUGAUCAAAACAUGAUGGAUAAAAUGGAAGAGUCUCGCAGGUUAAGCGAUGAUAGGAUCCCAAGAAAGUAAAAAAUAAGUUAUAUUUGCAUAUCUAAGGGAUAAUAUAUCUACAAGAUAAGUUAUUUAAUUUAAUUUUUAAAAUUAAUUUUACCAUUAAAUAUGAAAACAAAUUAAAUAUUGGAGCUAGAAAAUCUAAUUUUUGUUGUAUAAAAAUUUACCAUUAUUACAUACUGUUAUUAGGUACUUGAUUUUGAAAGUUAUUUCUGUGGUUUCUCAUGUUUAUUAAGAGAGCAUUAGUCUGGCCUUACAUGCUCUCUUCAAUUGGCAUAAUGUAAUGGAGGUUAAAACUCAUUUUGAUUAAUUAGUGUAGAUCAUAAGAUUUGCUCAAUUAUUUGUUUGUUUUCUGCAAAAGGAAAAAAUCUCUUUUCCCCCCUUUUGCAUACAAGAUGUAUGAUGUCCUAUUUUGAUUAGAAUUCUAAGCAAUUUUGAUCUUCGAGUUGUAAAUAUUUUCUUGCAG